rnacentral:rRNA from 1 species
GAUGAACGCUGGCGGCGUGCCUAAUACAUGCAAGUCGAGCGAACAGACGAGGAGCUUGCUCCUCUGACGUUAGCGGCGGACGGGUGAGUAACACGUGGAUAACCUACCUAUAAGACUGGGAUAACUUCGGGAAACCGGAGCUAAUACCGCAUAACAUGUUGAACCGCAUGGUUCAACAGUGAAAGACGGUCUUGCUGUCACUUAUAGAUGGAUCCGCGCCGCAUUAGCUAGUUGGUAAGGUAACGGCUUACCAAGGCAACGAUGCGUAGCCGACCUGAGAGGGUGAUCGGCCACACUGGAACUGAGACACGGUCCAGACUCCUACGGGAGGCAGCAGUAGGGAAUCUUCCGCAAUGGGCGAAAGCCUGACGGAGCAACGCCGCGUGAGUGAAGAAGGUCUUCGGAUCGUAAAACUCUGUUAUUAGGGAAGAACAAAUGUGUAAGUAACUAUGCACGUCUUGACGGUACCUAAUCAGAAAGCCACGGCUAACUACGUG